UGCAUGAAGCCGGAAUCGCUGUAAUCGCGGAUCAGAAUGCCGCGGUGAAUACGUUCCCGGGUCUUGUACACACCGCCCGUCACACCAUGGGAGUCGGAAAUGCCCGAAGCCGGUGGCCUAACCGAUAAGGGAGGAGCCGUCGAAGGCAGGUCUGAUGACUGGGGUGAAGUCGUAACAAGGUAUC
rnacentral:rRNA from 1 species